GACAGAAUGGCUCAGUGGUUUGAGUGUUGGUCUACAACUCUGGAGACUAGGGUUCUAUUUCUUGCUUAGCCA